GAUGAAGAACGCAGCGAAAUGCGAUAAGUAAUGUGAAUUGCAGAAUUCAGUGAAUCAUCGAGUCUUUGAACGCACAUUGCGCCCCCUGGUAUUCCGGGGGGCAUGCCUGUCCGAGCGUCAUUGCUGCCCUCAAGCACGGCUUGUGUGUUGGGCCCCCGUCCCCGGUUUCCCCCGGGGACGGGCCCGAAAGGCAGCGGCGGCACCGCGUCCGGUCCUCGAGCGUAUGGGGCUUUGUCACCCGCUCUGUAGGCCCGGCCGGCGCCAGCCGACACCCAACUUUAUUUCUAAGGUUGACCUCGGAUCAGGUAGGGAUACCCGCUGAACUUAAGCAUAUCAAUAAGCGGAGGGA
rnacentral:misc_RNA from 1 species